GGGCUGGUGGUUCAGUGGUAGAAUGCUUGGUUGGCAAUCAAGAGGUCGGGGGUUCAAAUCCCCCCCAGUCCACCA
rnacentral:tRNA from 1 species